AGGGUAUUUCUCCCCCUCCCUCUCUGCCUAAGGCAGUGUCUCUGGCACCUCCUCCGUGGCUCCAGCUCCCACCACACUGUCCCACAGCAGUUUUGCACUUAGGUA